UAUCAUGAGAUAACAUCCCGAGCCAAAAUCAAUAGUCUGCCACUUAACCAACCGAGCCACCCAGGCACCCUAGUGCAUCGAUUUUAACACAGAACUAAUUCACUCCUUGUUCACAGAUUGGAGGACAACAGCCUUGAACACAAAAGGAGUUUCCCUCGUUUUGGUUUUGUUUUAAUAUUGAAAUACUGCUGACAGAGGCUUCAGUCAGGAUAUCCAGUACCAAAGCCUGGCCUGGGCUUCCCAUGGAGCACAGAGAAGAGCCACGGGUGAAGGGACUGCAGAAUUUCAAAGAAAUGAGACAAGGAUUUGGCUUCAAGAUGAGGUUUUAAGAUCAGGAGAGAAGAUAAAGAAGCUUCUUCAAAGCAGAAAAAACCUGGAAACUCUGCAUCCACUCACUGUAACUUUAGGGGGGAAUGCUCUCCAAGGGUCUACUUUACAAAAAAGACUAAAAACCUUUAGAAAACCGAUGUGGAAAUCCUAAGACUUAGCAGAACUUAUAGAGCAUCCAACCACUCUGUAGGAAGAAAGCCCUGAGAACUCCAACCAGGAAGAACCUCUCAACAUUAGAUUCUCUGAGCACCAGGGGACUCAUUCAGGAAAAGAACCUCACCGGUGCCUUGGUUGUGGGCAAAGCUCCCUUCGUUCAGACUUUUGUAAACGCUAACAUCUCCCAUCAGAGGAGAGAUCCCGUGAAUGCGCUACAUCUUAUGGAAAGCAGUGUGACUGUGUUUUAAGAAUAUUAAAAUGUGGGGGUGCCUGGGUGGCUCCAUCGGUUAAGUGUCUGA